rnacentral:rRNA from 1 species
UGGCGGCGUGCUUAACACAUGCAAGUCGAACGGAAAGGCCCUUCGGGGUACUCGAGUGGCGAACGGGUGAGUAACACGUGGGUGAUCUGCCCUGCACUUUGGGAUAAGCCUGGGAAACUGGGUCUAAUACCGAAUAUGAUCAUCGGCUUCAUGGUCGGUGGUGGAAAGCUUUUGCGGUGUGGGAUGGGCCCGCGGCCUAUCAGCUUGUUGGUGGGGUAAUGGCCUACCAAGGCGACGACGGGUAGCCGGCCUGAGAGGGUGACCGGCCACACUGGGACUGAGAUACGGCCCAGACUCCUACGGGAGGCAGCAGUGGGGAAUAUUGCACAAUGGGCGCAAGCCUGAUGCAGCGACGCCGCGUGAGGGAUGACGGCCUUCGGGUUGUAAACCUCUUUCAGCACAGACGAAGCGCAAGUGACGGUAUGUGCAGAAGAAGGACCGGCCAACUACGUGCAGCAGCCGCGGUAAUACGUAGGGUCCGAGCGUGUCGGAAUACUGGCGUAAAGAGCUCGUAGGUGGUUGUCGCGUUGUCGUGAAAACUCACAGCUUAACUGUGGGCGUGCGGGCGAUACGGGCAGACUAGAGUACUGCAGGGGAGACUGGAAUUCCUGGUGUAGCGGUGGAAUGCGCAGAUAUCAGGAGGAACACCGGUGGCGAAGGCGGGUCUCUGGGCAGUAACUGACGCUGAGGAGCGAAAGCGUGGGGAGCGAACAGGAUUAGAUACCCUGGUAGUCCACGCCGUAAACGGUGGGUACUAGGUGUGGGUUUCCUUCCUUGGGAUCCGUGCCGUAGCUAACGCAUUAAGUACCCCGCCUGGGGAGUACGGC